rnacentral:rRNA from 1 species
UGCAGUCGAGCGGACAGAAGGGAGCUUGCUCCCGGAUGUUAGCGGCGGACGGGUGAGUAACACGUGGGUAACCUGCCUGUAAGACUGGGAUAACUCCGGGAAACCGGAGCUAAUACCGGAUAGUUCCUUGAACCGCAUGGUUCAAGGAUGAAAGACGGUUUCGGCUGUCACUUACAGAUGGACCCGCGGCGCAUUAGCUAGUUGGUGAGGUAACGGCUCACCAAGGCGACGAUGCGUAGCCGACCUGAGAGGGUGAUCGGCCACACUGGGACUGAGACACGGCCCAGACUCCUACGGGAGGCAGCAGUAGGGAAUCUUCCGCAAUGGACGAAAGUCUGACGGAGCAACGCCGCGUGAGUGAUGAAGGUUUUCGGAUCGUAAAGCUCUGUUGUUAGGGAAGAACAAGUGCAAGAGUAACUGCUUGCACCUUGACGGUACCUAACCAGAAAGCCACGGCUAACUACGUGCCAGCAGCCGCGGUAAUACGUAGGUGGCAAGCGUUGUCCGGAAUUAUUGGGCGUAAAGGGCUCGCAGGCGGUUUCUUAAGUCUGAUGUGAAAGCCCCCGGCUCAACCGGGGAGGGUCAUUGGAAACUGGGAAACUUGAGUGCAGAAGAGGAGAGUGGAAUUCCACGUGUAGCGGUGAAAUGCGUAGAGAUGUGGAGGAACACCAGUGGCGAAGGCGACUCUCUGGUCUGUAACUGACGCUGAGGAGCGAAAGCGUGGGGAGCGAACAGGAUUAGAUACCCUGGUAGUCCACGCCGUAAACGAUGAGUGCUAAGUGUUAGGGGGUUUCCGCCCCUUAGUGCUGCAGCUAACGCAUUAAGCACUCCGCCUGGGGAGUACGGUCGCAAGACUGAAACUCAAAGGAAUUGACGGGGGCCCGCACAAGCGGUGGAGCAUGUGGUUUAAUUCGAAGCAACGCGAAGAACCUUACCAGGUCUUGACAUCCUCUGACAACCCUAGAGAUAGGGCUUUCCCUUCGGGGACAGAGUGACAGGUGGUGCAUGGUUGUCGUCAGCUCGUGUCGUGAGAUGUUGGGUUAAGUCCCGCAACGAGCGCAACCCUUGAUCUUAGUUGCCAGCAUUCAGUUGGGCACUCUAAGGUGACUGCCGGUGACAAACCGGAGGAAGGUGGGGAUGACGUCAAAUCAUCAUGCCCCUUAUGACCUGGGCUACACACGUGCUACAAUGGACAGAACAAAGGGCUGCGAGACCGCAAGGUUUAGCCAAUCCCACAAAUCUGUUCUCAGUUCGGAUCGCAGUCUGCAACUCGACUGCGUGAAGCUGGAAUCGCUAGUAAUCGCGGAUCAGCA